rnacentral:rRNA from 1 species
UGGGGAAUUUUGGACAAUGGGGGCAACCCUGAUCCAGCAAUGCCGCGUGAGUGAAGAAGGCCUUCGGGUUGUAAAGCUCUUCUGUCAGGGAAGAAACGGUAGUAGCGAAUAACUAUUACUAAUGACGGUACCUCCCAAGAAAGCACCGGCUAACUCCGUGCCAGCAGCCGCGGUAAUACGGAGGGUGCGAGCGUUGCUCGGAAUCACUGUGCGUAAAGCGUACGCAGGCUGUCGUACAAGUCGGGUGUGAAAGCCCGGGGCUCAACCCCGGAACUGCGCCCGAGACUGUAUGACUUGAAUGCGGGAGAGGGAAGCGGAAUUCCUGGUGUAGAGGUGAAAUUCGUAGAUAUCAGGAGGAACACCAGUGGCGAAAGCGGCUUCCUGGCCCGACAUUGACGCUCAUGUACGAAAGCGCGGGGAGCAAACAGGAUUAGAUACCCCAGUAGUCCCUGAGCGGGCUGGCAAGGCGCAU